rnacentral:lncRNA from 1 species
CUGCAAGAAGUUCAAUAUCCAGAAGAUAAACAUAACCAUGAAAAAAGAAACUCUAAUAUCUACUUUCAAGCAGUUCAAUAUACCAAAACACACACUGAACCAAGGAAAACAAAAGACAAUUGGUGCACUUGACAGAUUUGACUGAACUGCAAACUCAGGAGCAAAUUACAAUGUUGUUCCAGACCUAGGAUAAACAUCAAUUCUUAAAAUCAAAAAAGAAAAAACAAUAGCAAAUCUUGUCUGCAUCUCCAAAGUAACAUCCAAGCAAAUGUAAAGUGACUCCUCUGAUUGAUCAUGCACACCAGCAGCUAAUCAUCCUGAAUACAACAUGUACAUGAAAACAAGAUGAUAUUAAUUCUUUAUAAAAAAAAAUAAUCAAGAUUAUAGGAAUGGUAAAGAGGUAAUAAUAUUACCUGUGAUGAACUAUCAUUAUCUAUAUCUUCUCCACUAAGAUUGUCAGCAGAUCUAAAAGAGAAAUAACAUAUAUUUAGCACACACUGUCCAAAUAUUAACAAUAAAAUUGGAAAUAUGUUGGAUAUGUAUUCUUACUGAUUGAGAUUGAGCAACACGGGACAGUUGCGUUUGUCAUGGGUUUGCCCAUCUUUGCC